UUCUCAAACUUUAAAUGGGUAAGAACCCUGGGUUGCUUAAUUGAACCCGGUGGUCGAAUGACGGUUGCUAGUGGGCCAAUCUGGGUAAGCUAGAUUGGCGAUGCGGGAUGAUCCGAACGUCGAGUUAAAGUGCCAAAGUAUCCGCUAACCUAGAUCCCACAAAAGGUGUUGGUUCAUUAAGACAGCAGGACGGUGGCCAUGGAAGUCGGAAACCGCUAAGGAGUGUGUAACAACCCACCUGCCGAAUGAACUAGCCCUGAAAAUGGAUGGCGCUGAAGCGGAUCACUUAUACUCGACCAACACAGCAAAUGCGAGGCUGUGUUGAGUAGGGAGGCGUGGGGCUCGUUGUGCAUUCUGUGGCGUAAGCCGGGAUGAAACGGGCUCUAGUGCAGAUCUUGGUAGCAGUAGCAAAUAUUCAAAUGAGAAC
rnacentral:rRNA from 8 species